CAAGCUGGAUUUUGACGUAAUUUCUUCUCAUGUAGCUAGCAGGUGGCGGAGGUGUAUUUGAAUGUCGGCAGCACCCUGACAGCGAUUAGAAUGUCCUCUGUCUGCUAGUCUUCUUUGAUCCUUGAAUUCUGUGGAGCUCAAAUAGACAACAAAGCUUUGUGGAACUGGUUAAGUGUUAGCAUAAAAUCUCUUCGCCUUUAUCAUGUUGAGCUUCCUCUAAUAAAUAUUACUCUCUUUGGUAGGAUCAUAAAUUUAUUUUUAUAUUUUCAUUUCUAUAGGACAGAAAUAUAUUUAUUUUAUUUUUAUGCC
rnacentral:lncRNA from 1 species